rnacentral:lncRNA from 1 species
AUCAUCUGGGUGUGUAUGUUAUCUGUAUCUAUGUCAAGACCUGGGCUUUGCUCCACUUGGAGUCAGCUGAUUGGCAAGAGGGCAUCUGAAAUUGAGAGGAGGUUUCAGGACUUUUACCCAGUCCUUUAGUGGGGAUCUGUCCGGGACUGUGCAGUAUGAAUCUGCAACUGUAAAAGUGCUGUUUGGACUGUGGACAAGUUAGGUUAUAAAUUUUGACCUCUGAACGGACGCAACCAAUACUAGUCUUUAAUGCAGUUAGACUCAUUUUGUCAGAGGUCUGGGAAAUCAGAAAAAAUACCAUAUGUCCAAGUCUUCAUGCUUUUUGAAAAUCAGGAUUCAUACCAUGAGGGAAGAUGCCAGCUGCUAGCUGUACCAAAGGACAGAAUGGAAAAAGGACUCUUCACAAGCCAGAGAGCCAAACUCAGGCAGAAAGUAAUGAAGAAGAAUUAGGACUUUUAAAUGUCCUACACCCAAGCUGUUUUAGCAGCUCCAACCACCACAGCCAGAACGCACCUGGCCUCUGCUCCACCCCUAACAGCUUCCACUGCGGUGGGAGCCCUAUGGGGCCCUUAGCAUUGGCCUCUGCAUUGGCCCGGAUUGCCUUGAUGCUACCAAGUGAGGCAUCAGACCAAUAAGAGGGAGCUACUCUGCCACCUCAGUAUAAUGAGAGAACAGAGAUGGCCUCUCCCUCCAGUGCUUGACAGGGAACACGAUUUAGCAAGGAAGUGCCAUGGCAGGAGCAAGGGAAUUCCCAUGUACAAGGAUGGCCAUGGGUGGCUUGGAUGCGAGUGGGCAACCUGUCAGACAUUACUGGACAUCCAGCCCAUUUUCAACAUCUAACUUGUGAAAUGGAAAAACUCCACCCCACUUUAUAGAAUGGAUCCCCCGAAAAUGACUGAUCUCUAUGUGUCUAUCAGUGCUACCCACCAGUGUACCUGAGCAGAUGUGUAGCCUCUCCUAAAUAUGUUUCUGACUGUAGACCAAAGAAGAUCCAGAGUCUUGGUGCCUCCAUGAAACAAAUCCAAAUGCCCCAAACCUGAAGGGACCAUUCUGGAUGCAAACCCUAAUUGGGGCUCCAACUGAUAAGGGGACAUGGCCCAUCUGGAAUAUUCACAAACAUUCUUCCUGUUUGGACUCAGGAAAAGGGUACCAAAACAGGAAGCCUCACUAGGAAUGGCCCCUUCCCCGCUCGAGAGACAAAGAAAGAGAAGUUUCAACCAUAAAUGUGGAAUGAACAAGGAAGCCUCUGCAUCAGAAAAAUCGAGGCAAGCUCUGGAACACAGCCAGCGUGCCUAGUGUAAGGAGAAAGGCCACUGAAAGGAUGACUGUCCCAAAAGAGAGGACCAAGGGGCCAGAAAAAGGAGGAAUAUGAUGAGGAAGAAGCUCACAGUCAAAUAAUGGAGCAGGGUCACUGCUCUGACCACGGACAGUGAUGCCUGGGGGCUCUCCUUAAUCCCUCAGAGACAAUUAAAAUUUCCCCACAGGAACCCUGGGUACAACUGACAGUGAGGAAAAAAUUAAUUGAUUUUCUGGUUGAUACUGGGCAAACUAUUCAGUUCUUAACACUUUACAAGCAAAAAGCACCAAAAUGAUCAUACCAGUGAUAGGAGUUGCAAGAAUAAUGCAACAAAAGGCUUUCCUACAACCUUUAGAAUGCAAACUAGAAAGUUUGGACCUAAGGCACUGCUAUUUCUAUAUGCAAGAAUGCCCAAUUCCCUUGCUGGGAAAAGACCUAUUAUGCAAAUUAAAUAUGCAAGUAAUUUAUCCCCAGAGAAACAACUACAUCUGCAGGUCCUGCUAGAGCAAGCACUGCAAGUAACAUGUUAUUCACUUGCCUUAAGAAGAAACAAGAAUUCUCCCUUAGAAGUCUAUGAGAGAGUGUGUAAUUGUGAAUAGGCAGACGGAAUCCCAGGAAAAACAAGAAAUACACAGUGAGUGCACAUGGAAAAAACAGAAGGGGCUACUGUGCCCUGGGUGGCGCGGGGGAGGCGAAUAAAAAAUCAGUAUACAUUAAUAAAGGAAGCCUUAGAAGGAAUACAAAUUUUUGAAUACAGUCUUUCAAAAAUUUCAGAAGUAGAUUGAUUCAUCCAUGCAGAUCCCCAUAUAAUAGCCCUAUCAUGCCUGUAAGGAAGCUACCCUUCAACAAAUAUCAAUUUGCCCAAGACCUGAGAGCUGUUAAUAAAAUAGUCUUGGAUAUUCACCCAAUGGUGCCUAACCCAUAUACUCUACUGACUGCUAUAUAUAGAUAUUGUGAAUGCUUUUCAGUGCUAGAUCUGAAAGAUGUUUUGUUCUGCAUUCCAGUUGAAGAAAAGACCCAGCAAUUAUUAUUACUUUUUUAAUGACAGGACCCAGAGACUAAAACAACCUUUCAAUACUGUUAGACAGUGGGGCCUCAAUGUGCUAAAAAAAAAUGCACCAACAAUUUUUGGGGAAAUAGUGGCAAAAGACUUAGGAGACCUACAACAAGAUUAAGAAGCCUGGCUACAACACAUAGAUAAUUAAUAGCAGCCACAACUAUAGGAAAUGCGUAGCUGACCUCAUCUUAGUUCUAAAUCACCUGGUACAAUAUGGAUACAAAGUAUUCCCAGGAAGCCCCAAGUAAGUAAGUAGAAAGUAACCUGUCUUGGCUUUAGGUUAAAGCAAGGCCAAAGGAGCCUGGUCUGGUAAAAAACAAACAAACAAACAAACAAAAAAAACAGGCAAUAGCAGCCAUAAAGCCCCAGAGAAUGGGGGCAACCAUGGGGAUUCUUAGAAAGGGUUAGCUUCUGCCAGAUUUGAUUCCUAAAUUUGGACUAAUGACUAAAACCCUUUAUGAAUCCCUAAAUGGACUAGACUCAGAGGCCCUUCUCUGGCUAUCUAAAGGUCAACAAACAUUUUAUACCAUCAAAGAAAAGCUGGUAUCAGCCCCCACACUGGGAUACCAAAUUCCCAAAAGCUGUUCAAAUUCUAUAUCCAAGAGAAACAAAGCAUAGGUCUGGGUGUGCUAAUCCAAAUCCUGAGAGAUGCCCCACAAUCCAUGGCCUAUUUCUCUAAACAAUUACGCCAAAGAUUAAGGGAUGGCCCCCCUUCCUCUGGGCAAAAUCACCCACUGUGAAGUCCUACAGGAAGUAGAACAAUUUACUCUGGGACAGCCAGUUACUGUAUUUGUGCCCCAUCCGGUGCUGACUCUGCUAGAACAAACGGGAGGCUACUGGCUCACUGUGGGGUGAGUGGGCAGAUACCAGGCCAUCCUCGUAUAUGAUCCAAAUAUCACCCUACAAACCACCAUGGCUCUAAACCCUGCCACACUGCUCUCAGCCACUGAACACAAUCCUGGGUUAAAGCAUGACUGUAAAUCCUUGAUGCAGCUUAUUCAAGCAUGCUGAACCUGUCAAACUAGACAAUGAGUGCUCUGGACUUGAACUACACUGAUGGGAGCAGCUUAAUGAAAGAUGUACACAGAGCCAGAUGUGCCACCGUGACUACCAAAAGGGUAAUAGAAGUCCAUACCCUUCCGGCAGCUACCUCUGCACAAAGAGCUGAGUUAAUUGCUCUUACUUGAGUCUUUAGAACUGUCCCAGAAAAAGGGAUUCUGAUUCCAUACAUGCAUUCCUGGUAAUGCACGCCCAUCGGGUGUUUUGGAAACAUAGAGGAGGCUGCUUGAAAUGAGAAAAUACGGACAUUAAACACCCAAAAGAAAUUCUGGCCCUAGUAGAAGCAAUUGACUUGCCUGCCACUGCAUCAUGCACUGCCCCACCACCAGAGAUAAUUCACAACCAAAGGUAACCAGGCAGCUGGCAAAGCUGCAAAAUGAGCUGCUCGGGAGGCACAGGUCUGGGACAUGAAUACUCCAUUUGGAAUUACUAGGUUUUAAACCUCAUUACACCGAACAAGAUCCCAAACGUGCCCAAGCCAGGGGUUUGAGAAAAAGGAUUCCAACUCCCCCUGGAAAACUGACACUCACAGGAUGAUGAAACCCCAAGGCCUUGGUUUAUCCAAUCUCAAAACAUCUACAUGAAGGAACGCACUAUGGGAGUGAUGUCCUCGCCAACCUAGUGCAACCACAUCUCAGUAGCCCACAAUUCCAAGAUAUCAUUCAGAAAAUUACACAAGGAUGCAUCUUGUGCACUACAAACAAUCCCAAGAUGGAAUGUAGCCCUCCUAAAAAGGGGAUAUAGUACAAAGGGCUGAGUCCCUUCAAAGACUGAAAGGUGGGCUUCACUCAGAUGUCUACCUGGUUAUGUGAGCCAAGGAAAGAUCUGAAGUUAUUAAUAAGAGAAAAAGGAGGAGAGUUAAGUGA